rnacentral:lncRNA from 1 species
CAGACCUGGGCUUUGUGCUAGUUUUCUCCAUAUUUAUGGGAAGAUGAGCAGACCACGGUGGGAGCCUCUGGAGCAGAGUCUGUGGGUGUGCUCAGGAGAGAGGCCUGGGCUCUAGUUGGAGUGGUGAAAAGGUGAGAAAAAAGGCCCUGAGAAGGAAAAUGACUCAACUCAAGGACACCCAGCCAGUUGGUGAAGAAGUUGACACCAUGUUCUACAGGAAUAAAACUGACUCCGUGGAACUGUUGUGAAGGUGUACAGAAGGUCCCGGGGUCAGACAUUAGGCGAGAGUCUGGGUGCACCAGGGCAGGGCAGAUGCUGCGAUGAGCAUGACUGUUGCUUCACUGAAUCCUCCUUGGCGUCUUCUAGCCACUUGGCUAUGGGCCGACAGGGAAACAAGCUUGUAGUGAUCAGAAGCUUCCUGUUGGAGGAAAGACACCUAGGAACACCUCCUGGCAAUUCAGGGUAAAACUUCACAGGAUAUCCAC